AAACUUUAAGCAUAAGAGUAAGCAAAAUAGAAGUUGUGUCAUGUCCAGCAAUCAUUAGAAGGAUGAUAUUGUGCAGAAUUUCCUCCUCAGUCAAAGCUUGCUCUUUGUCUUUGUUUUUUAUUCUAAGCAAAUAAGUAAUUAGGCUGUGGUUAUACCUUGUGAAUGGGAGAUUAAUUGGAACAGACCAGAUGCCCUCAACCAUUGUUUUGAAGCAUUGUAUUAUGCUCUUUCUUGUUGUUCCUUCUUCAAUGCCAAACAGGAGAGAGCAUAUGAUGUCAAAGGUCAGAGUUUUCAUCAAUGGUGCCACCUGUGUUUUUGCAAAAAAAAAAAAAAAAAAAAACAACCAAAAUAUGUAAAAUGUUAAGACCCUAGAACCACAGACUAUUGUGCAGAUCAGAUUGGACAAGGUUGGGAACCAAACUCGAGGGAAGCACGCUAUGUUGAAAAUUAAAUAUGUUUUAAUUAAAUAAGUUAUUUGUGAAAUGAUUUAUACGAGUGCUGACAAAAAUUAAAGGAUGUGAGUUAAAAUGUACGUUAAAGUUAAUUUAAUAUAAUUUAAUAUGUAUUUCACAUUAAUUAAGUAUAGGAUUUAAAUUGUUGUAUUUAAUUGUGGUGUGAGUUAUGCUCAUGACAAUUCUAUUUAGGAUUGAUACGUUGUAUUGUAAAAUAUUCAGGUGUGAAAAGAAUAAGUUAAAGUCUUUCAAA